UACCAGCACCCCGAGUGGUCGGGACGAUUAUUGGGCCUAAAGCAUCCGUAGCCGGUCAUGCAAGUCCUCCGUUAAAUCCACCUGCUUAACAGAUGGGCUGCGGAGGAUACUACAAGGCUAGGAGGCGGAAGAGGCAAGCGGUACUCAGUGGGUAGGGGUAAAAUCCUCUGAUCCAUUGAAGACCACCAGUGGCGAAGGCGGCUUGCCAAUACGCGGCUACGGGCGGUGAGGGAUGAAAGCUGGGGGAGCAAAGCC
rnacentral:rRNA from 1 species